UAUCAAUAAGCGGAGGAAAAGAAACUAACAAGGAUUCCCCUAGUAACGGCGAGUGAACCGGGAAGAGCUCAAAUUUGAAAUCUGGCGUCCUCAGGGCGUCCGAGUUGUAAUCUAUAGAGGCGUUUUCCGUGCCGGACCGUGUCCAAGUCCCUUGGAACAGGGUAUCAAAGAGGGUGACAAUCCCGUACUUGACACGACGACCGGUGCUCUGUGAUACGUCUUCUACGAGUCGAGUUGUUUGGGAAUGCAGCUCAAAAUGGGUGGUGAGUUCCAUCUAAAGCUAAAUAUUGGCGAGAGACCGAUAGCGAACAAGUACCGUGAGGGAAAGAUGAAAAGCACUUUGGAAAGAGAGUUAAACAGUACGUGAAAUUGUUGAAAGGGAAACGAUUGAAGUCAGUCGUGACCGAGAGGCUCAGCCGGUUCUGCCGGUGUAUUCCCCUCGGUCGGGUCAACAUCAGUUUUGUCCGGUGGAUAAGGGCAGGAGGAAGGUGGCACCCUCGGGUGUGUUAUAGCCUCCUGUCGCAUACAUCGGGUGAGACUGAGGAACGCAGCUCGCCUUUAUGGCCGGGGUUCGCCCACGUCCGAGCUUAGGAUGUUGACAUAAUGGCUUUAAACGACCCGUCUUGAACCA
rnacentral:rRNA from 1 species